AGAUGCCUGCCCUGUUGGUGAUAGGUGAAAAAGUUGAUCCGGCAAAUUAGAUUUUUUGGGAGCCUGCGUAAGGAGUUGGUGUGCAUGCCCCGUAUCAACAGUACGGGGAAGCCUAAAGACUUCUUCAGGGCACCCACCUAUUGUAUAGGCGGAUCUAAUUCUUUGCUUACACGGCAGGGCGGGUUUAUU
rnacentral:other from 1 species